rnacentral:lncRNA from 1 species
GACGAUUUUUUUUCAUUUUCUUUGGGAAGUUGGACGACAACUUUGAACGGAAAAAUUCAGUUUAGGGUUUUAAAACCCUAAUGCUGAUUAAAGGAAAAAGUUCAGUUUAGGGUUUAAAACCCUAAUGUUGACUGAAUGGAAAAAGUUUAGUUUAGGGUUUAAAACCCUAAUGCUGACUGAAUGGAAAAGUUCAGUUUAGGGUUUAAAACCCUAAUGCUGAUUAAAUAGAAAAAGUUCAGUUUAGGGUUUAAAACCCUAAUGCUGAAUGAAUGGAAAUAUUCAGUUUAGGGUUUAAAACCCUAAUGCUGACUGAAUGGAAAAAGUUCAGUUUAGGGUUUAAAACCCUAAUGCCGAAUAAAGGAAAGAGUUCAGUUUAG